AUUUUUAUUUUUUUUUUAUAUUCCCGCUUCCCGCAUCCGGAAAUGUAAUCAUGUCCAUUUCCCGCACCGUUUUUUUUGUAAAUAUUAUAGAAAGAUAUCAACAUUUGUUUUUAAAAUCACAGUCUAACCUGUAUAUAACGAUUUUAAACAUAAAAGCACCCCACCACACUGUGUAAAUAUCUGUGAGAAUAUUUGUUUUAGCAUGAAACCUAUUUAUCAAAAGUGAGAGUGCUCCGAUGUAAAUUGAUAACAGCGGGAAUACUUGUAAAGAACAAAAAAUUGGUUUUUUUC
rnacentral:lncRNA from 1 species